GUCAUAAAACAUAAAACAUAAAAUAAUCAAAAGCCAUUGUUCAUUCUUUGCAUGACCGAAUAUAAAAAAAAAAAAAGAAAUAAGAAAUAAGGUUGCUUAGGUUCGGCCAUUUUUGGAGCUUGAUUCAAGAUCAAGAACAAAAGAAACCGGACUUGGAUCGGGGAAAAGCAAAAAUAGUCGAAUAGCCGACUUAUAUCGUUCGUUGAUAUCCAAGAUUUUGGAUUCGAGUUACGAGCUCGGGGAUCGUCAGCCAAGUUUAUCACACUAUCGUCUGUCUUUGGUAUUUAAAUAAACAAACUUUCUAACCUAUGGCAUGUAUAGGCUAGGUUAUGUUUUGGAAUAUUGUAUUUUGGUCUAUGUAUAAUGGAAGCCAUGCGAAAAUGGCUUAAUUUCUAUGUUUGAGUUCGGUGUUAGUUAAAUUGUAGUUUAAGUUUAUUUUGAUUAUCAUACCGUGUGCCAUGGUUGAUUAUAGUUAUGUGCUCAUAUUCAGAGAUGGUAUGGAUGAAA